rnacentral:rRNA from 1 species
UACCGCGUGUGUGAAGAACGCCUUCGGGUUGUAAAGCACUUUAAGUUGGGAAGAAAAAACUUCAAUUAAUACUUGAAGUCUUGACGGUACCGACAGAAUAAGCACCGGCUAACUCUGUGCCAGCAGCCGCGGUAAUACAGAGGGUGCAAGCGUUAAUCGGAAUUACUGGGCGUAAAGCGAGCGUAGGUGGCUUGAUAAGUCAGAUGUGAAAGCCCCGGGCUUAACCUGGGAACGGCAUCUGAUACUGUUAGGCUAGAGUAGGUGAGAGGAAGGUAGAAUUCCAGGUGUAGCGGUGAAAUGCGUAGAGAUCUGGAGGAAUACCGAUGGCGAAGGCAGCCUUCUGGCAUCAUACUGACACUGAGGUUCGAAAGCGUGGGUAGCAAACAGGAUUAGAUACCCUGGUAGUCCAUGCCGUAAACGUUGGGCACUAGGUGUGGGGAACAUUCCACGUUUUCCGCGCCGUAGCUAACGCAUUAAGUGCCCCGCCUGGGGAGUACGGCCGCAAGGCUAAAACUCAAA